CCUUAUCAUUUAACAUAUGAAGGUGUGUUCUUUCAAACUAUAUUAUGUUCAAUAUCUUUGAAUUGUUUUAGAUGAUGGACAAAAAACAAAAUGUCAGGGGGAGAAAGUACUACAAGAUUUUAACAUCCAAGAUGAAGCCAAGGGCUCCAAAAGAGCUGUUAUAAAAACGUUCAUGGCAAAUGUGACAGACACAACCAUGGAGAUCCACUUCUUUUGGGUUGGAAAAGGGACUUGUUGCAUUCCAUUUCAAGUAACUUUCGGGCCGCUAGUGUCAGCCAUACAUGUUUCUCUAGAGUCCUCUAGUGGUGGUUCGCCCUCGAAUAAUUACAGAAGACGUAUAGGAGAAGUUAUCGGUAUAGCUAUCGGAUGUGUAGGUGGACUACUGAUACUCGCAUCCAUUUUCUAUUUAUGGUGGAUGAAGGAUGCACCUGGCCAUAUGCGAGUGCACACAAACUCACUAAGAUUUGUAUUUUCAGCAUUAUUGUAAUUGUAAUUGUGAUUGAUUGAAUGAAGGAUUGUAAUUGAUUCAUCAUU